CAGGCCUAACACAUGCAAGUCGAACGCUAUAUUUAUAUAGAGUGGCGCACGGGUGAGUAACACGUGGGAAUCUGCCCUUCUGCCUGGGAUAACAGUUGGAAACGACUGCUAAUACCGGAUACGCCCUUCGGGGGAAAGGUCCGCCGCAGAAGGAGGAGCCCGCGCUCGAUUAGCUAGUCGGCGAGGUAAUGGCUCACCAAGGCGACGAUCGAUAGCUGGUCUGAGAGGAUGAUCAGCCACACUGGGACUGAGACACGGCCCAGACUCCUACGGGAGGCAGCAGUGGGGAAUAUUGGACAAUGGGGGCAACCCUGAUCCAGCAAUGCCGCGUGUGUGAUGAAGGCCUUAGGGUUGUAAAGCACUUUCACUGGUGAAGAUGAUGACGGUAACCAGAGAAGAAGCCCCGGCUAACUUCGUGCCAGCAGCCGCGGUAAUACGAAGGGGGCGAGCGUUGUUCGGAAUUACUGGGCGUAAAGGGAGCGCAGGCGGUUCAUUAAGUUAGGCGUGAAAGCCCCGGGCUCAACCUGGGAACUGCGCUUAAUACUGGUGAGCUAGAAAACAGGAGAGGGUAGUGGAAUUUCCAGUGUAGAGGUGAAAUUCGUAGAUAUUGGAAAGAACACCGGUGGCGAAAGCGGCUACCUGGCCUGAU
rnacentral:rRNA from 1 species